UACGUAGGGGGCAAGCGUUGUCCGGAAUUAUUGGGCGUAAAGGGCGCGUAGGCGGCCGAUCAAGUCGGGUGUGAAAUCCCUCGGCUCAACCGAGGAACUGCACCCGAUACUGCUUGGCUAGAGUCCGGGAGGGGAUGGCGGAAUUCCCAGUGUAGCGGUGAAAUGCGUAGAUAUUGGGAAGAACACCGGUGGCGAAGGCGGCCAUCUGGACCGGUACUGACGCUGAGGCGCGAAAGCCAGGGGAGCGAAUGGG
rnacentral:rRNA from 1 species